AUUGAACGCUGGCGGCAUGCCUUACACAUGCAAGUCGAACGGCAGCACGGGUGCUUGCACCUGGUGGCGAGUGGCGAACGGGUGAGUAAUACAUCGGAACGUACCUUAUCGUGGGGGAUAACGCAGCGAAAGUUACGCUAAUACCGCAUACGAUCUAAGGAUGAAAGCGGGGGAUCGCAAGACCUCGCGCGAUUGGAGCGGCCGAUGGCAGAUUAGGUAGUUGGUGGGGUAAAGGCUCACCAAGCCGACGAUCUGUAGCUGGUCUGAGAGGACGACCAGCCACACUGGGACUGAGACACGGCCCAGACUCCUACGGGAGGCAGCAGUGGGGAAUUUUGGACAAUGGGCGCAAGCCUGAUCCAGCCAUUCCGCGUGCAGGAUGAAGGCCCUCGGGUUGUAAACUGCUUUUGUACGGAACGAAAAGGCUCUGGUUAAUACCUGGGCUCAUGACGGUACCGUAAGAAUAAGCACCGGCUAACUACGUGCCAGCCGCCGCGGUAA
rnacentral:rRNA from 1 species